rnacentral:rRNA from 1 species
UUGAUCGUGGCUCAGGAUGAACGCUAGCGGCAGGCCUAAUACAUGCAAGCUGAACGGCAAGUUGAAUAGCAAUAUUUGACCUAGAGUAGCGUAAGGGUGCGUAACACGUAUGCAAUCUGCCCGCAGCAGGAGGAUAGCUUGAUGAAAGUUGAGAUAAGACUCCAUAAGAUCACAGGAGGGCAUCUGAUAGUGAUAAACUACAAGGGGUUGCGGAUGAGCAUGCGCAUGAUUAGUUAGUUGGCGGGUAACGG